CGGGGCGUUCCACAGAUGGUUAUAUGGGCUUGAUUUGGAGUCAAGUGUUCGCACGUUCGAAUCGUGUCACCCCGA
rnacentral:tRNA from 1 species